CCUACGGGAGGCUGCAGUGGGGAAUUUUGGACAAUGGGGGCAACCCUGAUCCAGCAAUGCCGCGUGAGUGAAGAAGGCCUUCGGGUUGUAAAGCUCUUUUGUUUGGGAAGAAAUCCCUAAGGAUAAUACCCUUGGGGGAUGACGGUACCAAAAGAAUAAGCACCGGCUAACUACGUGCCAGCAGCCGCGGUAAUACGUAGGGUGCAAGCGUUAAUCGGAAUUACUGGGCGUAAAGCGUGCGCAGGCGGUUUUGUAAGACAGGUGUGAAAUCCCCG
rnacentral:rRNA from 1 species